rnacentral:lncRNA from 10 species
CUGUAUAGCAAAAGGAAACUCUCACAUCACAGAGGAGGAAAAAGGGAGAAAAUUCAGGUAUUGCUGGACUGACGGGGGAAGCCAGAGAGUUAGAUAAGCAGGAAAGAGUGGGGUGAUAUUGGAAAUAGGAACACACUUUUUGAGCCACAGGGCCAGUCACUCUGUUGGGAUUCUUUCAUUUAAUCCUCACAACAAUCCUAUGAGGUAGACGUUAUCAUUUCUCCAUGCAACAGAGGAGGAAACCAAGACUCAUAAGCCUCUACAUGGUGGGGCCAGUGUGGCUCCCAGGCCCAUGCUAGCCCUAACUAUCUCCCAGGAGUCUUCAAACAGUUUCCUGGGCUACAGGAGCAUUUGUAGGUGAUUUUAUACACACACACACAGACACACACAAACACAUAUACACACAUAUAUACUUUUUUUGGUCAAAAACAUUGAGUAACCUCCAUUCAGCCUUAAACUGUUAUCAUGGCAACAGAAUGGCAGUUUGCAUUUGUGCUGAGAAUUUUCUGACUCCAUUUCGGCAAGGUAUUAUGCUAGGGUCAGCCAAGCAAAGAUGCAUCUGAAAUUUACACACCCAAGCUGGAAAGCAGAUGUCUCCUAAGAGAGGUCUGAGAAGGUGAUGUGGUUUUCAGAGCUGGGGAAGCAUCUAAGCAAGCGGAGGGAAGGACAAGGGGAUGGCUUCUGUCUGAGUUAUUUCCACAGCACCUUCCAUACCUUUUCCAUGAGUCAGACGGGCCAUGCAUUACUCAAAAGUAUCUAGUUAAAUCCUAUUUAAAAUAAAGGG